rnacentral:rRNA from 1 species
CGCGACCCCAGGUCAGGCGGGAGCAACCCGCCGAGUAAGGGCAUAUCAAAAUAAGCGGAGGAAAAGAAACUUACCAGGAUUCCCCUAGAACGCGCGAGCGAAAACCGGAAGAGCCCAGCUUGAGAAUCGGGCGCCCUCGGGCGUCCGAAUUUGUAGUCUGGAGAAGCGUCCUCAGCGGCGGACCGGGCCCAAGUCCCCUGGAAGGGGGCGCCGGAAGAGGGUGAGAGCCCCGCGUGCCCGACCUGUCGCACCACGAGGCGCAUGUCUGCGAGUCGGGUUGUUUGGGAGCAGCCCCAAUCGGGCGGUAAAUUCCGUCCAAGGCUAAAUACUGGGCGAGAGGACCGAUAGCGAAAAAGUACUGCGAGGAAAGAUGAAAAGGACUUUGAAAGAGAGUCAAGAGUGCUUUGAAAUGUCGGAGGGAAAGCGGAUGGGGGCCGGCGAUGCGCCCCGGUCGGAAUUGUGGAACGGCGGCAAGCCGGUCCGCGAUCGGCUCGGGCGCGGACCGACGCGGAUCGCAGCGGCGGCACAAGGCCCGGGCACUAGAAACCCCGCUGGAGAGCCGUCCAGCGAUCGUGCACAGCACGCGCGCGCCGUCAACGGUCGUGCCCCGCACCAGGCGCGCUCUGGCGUCGGCGGCGGGCUCCCCAUUCGGCCGCGUCUUGGAAACACGGACAAGGAGUCUGACAUGUGUGCGAAGUCAACGGACGAGUAAACGUAAGCGCAGGAAGCCGACUGGCGGAUCCCCCAGAAGGGUUGCACCGCCGACCGACCCGAUCUUCUGAGAAGGGUUCGAAGUGAGAGCAUGCCUGGCGGGACCCGAAAGAUUGGUGAACUAUGCCUGAGCGGGGCGAAGCCAGAGGAAACUCUGGUGAGGCCCGCAGCGAUACUGACGUGCAAAUCGUUCGUCUGACUGGGUAUAGGAGCGAAAGACUGAAUCGAACGUCUAGUAGCUGGUUUCCCUCCGAAGUUUCCUCAGGAUAGGCUGGAGCUCGGGCGAGUUCUAUCGGGUAAAAGCCAAUGAUUAAGGCAUCGGGAGGCGCAACGCCCUCGACCUAUUCUCAAACUUAAAUAGGUAGGACGGCGCGGGGUGGGACUGCUUCGCUGAGCGGCCGCCACGGAAUCGGAGAGGUCCAAUGGGCCAUUUUUGGUAAGCAGAAUGGCGAUGGGAUGGAACCGGACAGCCGGUUACGGUGCCCAACUGCAGCGGCUAACCCAAACCCCACAAAGCGGUGUUGUCGAUUAAGAAGCAGGACGGUGGUCAGGAAGUCGAAUGCCGCUAAGGAGGUGUGUAACAACUCACUGCCGAAUCCAACUAGCCCGAAAAAUGGAUGGCGCUUAAGCGCGCGACCUAUUAACCCGAGCCGUCGGGGCAAGAGCACAGCCCCGAUGGGUGAGGAGGGCGCGGCGGCCGCUGCAAAACCCGGGGCGCGAGCCCGGCGGAGCGGCCGCCGUGCAGAUCUGGUGUGUAGUAGCCAAAAUUCAAAUGAGAACUUUGAAGGCCGAAAGGGAAAGGUUCCUGUGAACGGCCUUGCACUGGGUUUAGUCGAUCCUAAGAGACGGGGGAAGCCCGUCCGACAGGCCCGUCCGCGCGCGAGCUUCGAAAGGGAAUCGGGUUAAAAUUCCCGAACCGGGACGCGGCGGCUGACGGCAACGUAGGAGUCCGCGAGACGCGGCGGGGGCCUCGGAAGAGUUAUCAUUUUCUGUUUAACGGCCCGGCCCACCCUGGAAAACGACUCAGUCGGAGGUAGGGUCCAGCGGCCGAAGAGCACCGCACGUCGCGCGGAUGUCGGUGCGCCCCGCGGCCCCGUGAAAAUCGGAGAGACGAGUGCCUCCCGCGCCCCGGUCUACUCAUGAAACCGCAUCAGGUCUCCAAGGUGAACAGCCUCUGGCCAAUGGAAACAAUGUAGGCAAUGGGAAGUCCGGCAAAACGGAUCCGUAACCUCGGGCGAAUAAGGAUUGGCUCGUGAGGGCUGGGCCCGGGGUCCCAGUCCCGAAACCCGUCGCUGCGGCGGAACUGCUCGAGCUGCUCCGCGAGCGAGAGCGGGUCGCCGCUGUGCGGCCGGGGGACGGACUGGAACGGCCCCUCCGGGGGCCUUCCCCGGGCGUCGAACAGUCGACUCAGAAACUGGUACGGACAAGGGAAUCCGACUGUUUAAUUAAAACAAAGCAUUAGCGAUGGUCCCUGCGGAUGCCACGCAAUGUGAUUUUCUGCCCAGUGCUCUGAAUGUCAAAUGUGACAGAAAUUCAACCAAGCGCGGGUAAACGGCAGGCGAGAAACAUGACCUCUUAAGGUAGCCAAAUGCAUCGUCAUCUAAGUUUAGGACGCGCAUGGAAUGGAUUAACGAGAUUCCCACUGUCUCCUUGUCUACUAUCCAGCGAAACCACAAGCCAAGGAACGGGCUUGGCGGAACAGGCGGGAAAAGACCCCUUGUUGAGCUUGACUCUAGUCGGACUAUGCGUGAAAUGGACUGGAGAGGUGUAGGAUAAUGGGGGAGCCGGAAACGGCGAACGGUGAAUAAUACCACUACGUUUAACGUAUUUUACUUAUUCCGUGAAUCGGAGGGCGGGCCUCGCCCCUCUGUUGGACCCACCAAGGGCGCCACGGCGGCCGAUCCGGGCGGAAAACCAAUUUGUCAGGUGGGGAGUUUGGCUGGGGCGAGCACAUCUGUUAAAGAAACGCAGGUGGUGUCUAAGAUGAGCUCAACGAGAACAAGGGAAAUCUCGUGUUGGAACAAAAGGGUAAAAAGCUCGUUUGAUUCUGGAUUUCCAGUACGAAUUACGAACCGUUGAAUAGCGUGGCACUAUCGAUCCUUUAGACCUUUCGGAUUUUGAAGCUAGAGGUGCUCAGAAGAAGUUACCACAGGGAUAACUGGCUGUGGCAGCCAAGCGUUCAUAGCGACGUUGCUUUGAUUCCUUCGAUGUCGGCUCUUCCUAUCAUUGUGGAGCAGAAUUCACCAAGUGUUGGAUUGUACCCACCAAUAGGGAACGUGAGCUGUGGUUUAGACCGCGUGGACAGGUUAGUUUUACCCUACUGAUUGACGCGCGUCGCGAUGGUUAAUUCACCUAGUAUCGAGCAGAAAACCGUUGAUCGCACAAUUGGUCAAUCCGCGCCUUGGUUGAAAAGCCAGUGGCGCGAGCUUCCGUGCGCUGCGAUUAUGACUGAACGCCUCUAUGUCAAGAAUCCGGGCCAGAAGCGACGGCCCGGCGGCGCCCGUCUUGCCGACCCGCAGUAGGGGCCACUCCGGCCCCCAGAGGCACGCGUGCACGUUAUGCCAAGCCCCCUCGCGGAACCGAGCCAUGCCGCGCGGGCCUUGUAAGUACUAUUCCCCACCGGCGUGGGCAGAAUCCUUGCCAGGACGAAUAAAUUACGCGACGGCG